GUCGAGAAUCUUCCGCAAUGCGCGAAAGCGUGACGGAGCGACACCGCGUGAUGGAUGAAGUCCUUCGGGGCGUAAACAUCUUUUAUAAAGGAGGAAAUUUUUGACGUUACUUUAUGAAUAAGGGGCUCACAAUCUCGUGUCAGCAGGAGCGGUAAUACGAGAGCCUCAAGCGUUAUCCGGAAUCAUUGGGCGUAAAGGGUGCGUAGGUGGUUUGAUUAGUCUCCCGUUAAAACUUCGAGCUUAACUCGAAAAGAGCGGGGGAAACGGUCAAACUAGAGUAUGUGAGAGGUGUGUGGAACUCAUGGUGUAGGGGUGAAAUCCGUUGAUAUCAUGGGGAACACCAAAAGCGAAGGCAGCACACUGGCACAUCACUGACACUGAGGCACGAAACCUAAGGUAGCGAAUGGGAUUAGAAACCCUUGUAGUCC
rnacentral:rRNA from 1 species